rnacentral:ncRNA from 2 species
GAAAUCCACUGGGGGAGCCGCAAGCGAGCGGCUGAGACAAGGAUGCUUGGACCCUUUGAACCUGAUCCGGAUCAUACCGGCGUAGGGAAGUGGAGACGGACUUCG